rnacentral:rRNA from 1 species
AAAACGACUCUCGGCAACGGAUAUCUCGGCUCUCGCAUCGAUGAAGAACGUAGCGANAUGNGAUACUGNNUGUGAAUNGCAGAAUCCCGUGAACCAUCGAGUUUUNGAACGCAANUUGCGCCCCAAGCCGUUAGGCCGAGGGAACGCCUGCCUGGGUGUAACGU